AGCCCAACAAUCAGCGGAAAAGCUCGACGAGGCGGACACCUCGAAAACCGACGUGCUCAGCCACGUGGCAAAGCUCCGAGAGGAGUUGGCAGUGGCAAAUCUGCGGAUUCGAGAUAUGCAAGGAGAAUUGCCGGCACAGACGAACGGAUUUUAUUUGAAUUUGAUUUUGGGUACGAAAAUUUUGGAAAAAAUUUUUUUUUUUUUUUUUUUUCAAAAAAACUUUUCUCAUUUUUUGUUCUAAAUACAUAAAUUCCACAUUUUCCCUCAUAUUUUGUGCUCUUUUUUCCAGGCUCCAACCUCAACGUCUCGCUGCUCACGAAGGCGGAAAAGUUCAAGUACAAGCAGG
rnacentral:sRNA from 1 species